UUGCACAGAGAACACCCAAGUGUGCCCCAUGGUUCCCUUGGUUAUAGUUCUGUGCUAGACCAAUGUCUGUUCUUUUUCCUCUGCGGUGAAAGAAUACCAUUCUUUUACACGUAUUCAGAAGAACAGCACAUAA